CCGAGUUUUCAACUCCCAAACCCUUUUGUGAACCUACCUAUCGUUGCUUCGGCGGUCUCGCCCCAGCCCGGACGCGGACUGGACCAGCGGCCGCCGGGGACCCUCAAAGCUCUUGUAUUACCAGCAUGUUCUGAAUACGCCGCAAGGCAAAACAAAAUU
rnacentral:sRNA from 1 species